GUUUCUGUCUUUUACAAGUAAGACAGGAGAUGGAGUCAAAAUGUAUUCCUACCAUCAAGGCUUCCCUAAAGAGCCAGUGGGCAGACAUGGUUUCCCUGGGACAUGUUAACCUUACCAAGGAUGCGAGACACCUGAUGAGAAUGGUUGGUGGAAGGCAUUAGGAGCAGCAUCUCAGGCAAGUCCUCCUCUCAGACAGCUUCCAGCAGGUUUGCGGCCUGUUGCAGAGAAACGAAAUGCAGCCCAGACCCCUGCUCCAAGCUCUGAAGGAGAAAGACCUCUGGGAGAAGAAUUAAAAAAACAACUUGGAUCUAUGAAGAAAUAUCUGGAAUAAGGAAAUCCUGCAAGUGAAAAGAAGUCUUACAACUGGGAAAGGCAAAAAAACAGCCAGUGUAACCACAAUGCUGGAUUUUCUAUGGAGAUAACCAUUGUCGACAAAGCUCCUGUGUUCCUUCGAUUAACAUACUGUAGGUGGAAGCCAAAAACACUGAAUAAUGGAAAGAGUGGACAGAAUCCAUUCGAACUUUUCCUCUAAUACCUUGCCAGUCUCAGAGGCUAGGGGAGUGUCUCACUGUGACUGGCACUGCUCACAGCCUCCAUCCUG